AUUGAACGCUGGCGGCAGGCCUAACACAUGCAAGUCGAGCGGAUGAAGAGAGCUUGCUCUCUGAUUCAGCGGCGGACGGGUGAGUAAUGCCUAGGAAUCUGCCUGGUAGUGGGGGACAACGUUUCGAAAGGAACGCUAAUACCGCAUACGUCCUACGGGAGAAAGCAGGGGACCUUCGGGCCUUGCGCUAUCAGAUGAGCCUAGGUCGGAUUAGCUAGUAGGUGAGGUAAAGGCUCACCUAGGCGACGAUCCGUAACUGGUCUGAGAGGAUGAUCAGUCACACUGGAACUGAGACACGGUCCGGACUCCUACGGGAGGCAGCAGUGGGGAAUAUUUGGCAAUGGGCGAAAGCCUGAUCCAGCCAUGCCGCGUGUGUGAAGAAGGUCUUCGGAUUGUAAAGCACUUUAAGUUGGGAGGAAGGGCAGUAAGUUAAUACCUUGCUGUUUUGACGUUACCAACAGAAUAAGCACCGGCUAACUUCGUGCCAGCAGCCGCGGUAAAAC
rnacentral:rRNA from 1 species